AAUGAACGCUAGCGGGAUGCUUUACACAUGCAAGUCGAACGGAGUGGCGGACGGGCGAGUAAUAUAUCGGAACGUGCCCAGUAGCGGGGGAUAACUACUCGAAAGAGUGGCUAAUACCGCAUACUGUUGGUGCGGCCGAUAUCGGCUUAGCUAGUCGGUGGGGUAUAGGCUCACCAAGGCAACGAUCCGUAGCUGGGUUGAGAGGACGACCAGCCAGACUGGAACUGAGACACGGCCCAGACUCCUACGGGAGGCAGCAGUGGGGAAUUUUGGACAAUGGGCGAAACCCUGAUCCAGCCAUCCCGCGUGUGUGAUGAAGGCCUUCGGGUUGUAAAGUACUUUUGGCAGAGAAGCGGUAUCUGCAUAAUAAGCACCGGCUAACUACGUGCCAGCAGCCGCGGUAAUUC
rnacentral:rRNA from 1 species